rnacentral:rRNA from 1 species
AUUGAACGCUGGCGGCAGGCCUAACACAUGCAAGUCGAGCGGAUGAAGAGAGCUUGCUCUCUGAUUCAGCGGCGGACGGGUGAGUAAUGCCUAGGAAUCUGCCUGGUAGUGGGGGACAACGUUUCGAAAGGAACGCUAAUACCGCAUACGUCCUACGGGAGAAAGCAGGGGACCUUCGGGCCUUGCGCUAUCAGAUGAGCCUAGGUCGGAUUAGCUAGUAGGUGAGGUAAUGGCUCACCUAGGCGACGAUCCGUAACUGGUCUGAGAGGAUGAUCAGUCACACUGGAACUGAGACACGGUCCAGACUCCUACGGGAGGCAGCAGUGGGGAAUAUUGGACAAUGGGCGAAAGCCUGAUCCAGCCAUGCCGCGUGUGUGAAGAAGGUCUUCGGAUUGUAAAGCACUUUAAGUUGGGAGGAAGGGCAGUAAGUUAAUACCUUGCUGUUUUGACGUUACCAACAGAAUAAGCACCGGCUAACUUCGUGCCAGCCGCCGCAGUAAAAC